CAGCCCACUAGCUAGCUCACACCCCAAAAUACAACAAUCAAUUUUUAUACCCCCAAAUAAGCCAAAAACACCCAAGACCAAACCAUUUUUCCACCCAAGUACGGGAGACAGAAAAGGAAACAUCGAAGCAACAGCAACAGUACCGCAAGGGAACGCUGAAAGAGAAGUGAAACAAACCAGUAAAGCACAGAAAAGCAGAGCUUAACCCUCGUACCUUUUGCAUCAUGAUUUAGCAAGAAACCAUCAAGCGAAGAGUAUUUUAGUUUGACUCCCCGAAACCAAGUGAGCUACUCCAAGACAGCCUCUAAGGGCGCACCCGUCUCUGUGGCAAAAGAGUGGGAAGAUCUUUGAGUAGAGGUGACAGACCUACCGAACUUGGUUAUAGCUGGUUGCUCAGGAAAUGAAUAGGAGUUCAGCCUUUUGCCCUCUUUCUACACAAACUGGUUUCACCCCCUCCGCCAGCACCCAAGUAAAGCAAAAGAGUUAGUCAAAGGGGGAACAGCCCCUUUGAAAAAAGAUACAACUUUACCAGAAGGGUUAAGAUCAUAUCAGCCUUUGAGGGAAAGUGUUAUGGUUGGCCUAAAAGCAGCCACCCACGCAGAAAGCGUUAAAGCUCAGACACAUUUUCACCCCGACUAUUCUGACCACACAAUCUUACCCCCCUAAGCAUACUGAGCCCUCCCAUACUUAUAUGGAAGUGACCAUGCUAAUAUGAGUAAUAAGAGGCCCAGAGCCUCUCCCUGCACAACCGUACAUCGGAACGAACUGACACCGAAAAUCAACGGCCCCAAAGCAGAGGGCACUGAAAUAUUAAGGCGAGACACUAGAAAAACAUCCAACCCCCCUCCACCGUUAACCUUACACCAGAGUGCACACAAGGAAAGACUUAAAGAAAAAGAAGGAACUUGGCA
rnacentral:rRNA from 1 species